ACUUGUUUGUGCUCUAGGAAGUCCCCAAGAGCACAGGAGCCCAGAGACCUCGCAGGAGGAAGCAGCAGUAUCUGUGUUCCAAAUCCUGCCCAGCCCCCAGGCAGCCAUGGUAUCUUCUCAGCUGGCUCGAGGGCACACCUCCCAAAAUGCAGAGAAGGCAGGGUGGCUAGGAAUGGCUCUAGUAGAAUUCUCCCCUUAUCUUGUCUGGAAACAAGGGGCAAAGAGCUAUCUAUUUCCUCCUGCCAGCCUCCUGCCCCCAACAGGAUUCCUCACAUCCCAGGACCAGCUGGAAAAGGUGGUGAGAGUUGGAAAGAGACUGCUCAGUGAGGACUGCCCUGCGAACCAGCUUGGAUUCAUCCCGUUCACCUCCACGUUCUGCACUCGGGGCCGAGGGAAGGGAGGCAGCCCAGGCAGCUAGAGAACUUGAUGAAACACACUCAAUCUGAAUCUCGCUUGAUCGUCAUGCUGACCCAGUGAGUCUACUCAGGGUCAGGCAUCCUUUCCGACUACUCACUCAGCAGCGGAUCCCCACCCGCCUCUGACUCCCAGUGUCUUUCGGCUCCAACGUAAGUUCACCGAACGUCUAAGAGCUGAGGAUUCAAAGGCAUGUAAGACCGCCCCUGCCCUCAGCUGCAAGACCUGUCCGCGAUCCUACGAGCCCCAUUCCGCCCUCUUUCCCCGACCUUGGUCCCCCAUGGGCCCUACAACCAGGUCCCCGACUGACACCUUGACCAGCGAACACAGCAAACAGGCCCGCAGAUGCCGCAGGUCCUUCGGCACCGUCUCCAGGGCCAUCUUCGCCGAUGGGAAGAACAACAGGGAGAUAGACGACCACAGCCUGUGCACCCGCAGGAAGUAAAUAGCUCGUUACCCAGAAUGCCCACCACUUCCGGCGCUUAGACUUCCUCUUCCGGUGUGGGCGGACGCCAGCUCCGCCCCUACCCCCGCCAGAGGAGAUGGUUUCUCCCGCCAGCAGGCGGGGAGGCUGGGCGGCCGGCCGCCACCUGGGCCGGAGCGCGUCGCAGCCACCUGAGCCCGCCGAGGGCGCGGCGGAGGCUGUGUGGGGUAGUCAGCGGGCCCCCGGGGCGGGGGGGCGGCUGCGCUUGCGCGGGAGUGUGUCGGGCUGAGCCGCAGCGCCGAGACGCGGGCUGUUUGAUCUGGGCUGGUGGCCCUGGGCGUCGGUCCUGUUCCCCGAUGGUAACCCGAAGUUUGUUUUUUUUUGUUUUGUCUCCCCGUUUUAGAAGCAUUGGGGGCAGUGAAUCCACUGUCUCCCUCUGGAUUGUCUCUGCAGAGACCGAGAAGAAAUCCAGGGACAGCCCCACCCCUCCUUCCUAACUGCGAGAGCGCUAUAGGGUUUCCACUUGCUUCCCACAGGAAUGCUGGCCUGGGAGCUACGGCGGAAAAAAAUGCGUAUUUAUCUUUUAAAACUCCGUCUGUUUGCUCGUUCCGGCUGAUAAUUUAUACUUUGCGCAGUUCUUAGCGCUUAGACACGGUUCCUUUACUAAAGACCAUUUGUAGGAGAUUAGGUGUCCUUUUUUUCCCUUUCAUUUCACCGUCUAGGAAGCGAAAUGCCUUGUUCUAUAGGCACUAAACCACCACCCCUACCAAACCUUUCUCGGGGAAGCAGAAGGGGAACUUGUGCCUUGUGAGGAAGCGACAAAGGCCCCUUCUGGCCCUGGAGACUUCACGCCAAUGGAGCACCAGCUCUCUGUCCUCGCAAUAGCCCGAGUGCAGGCAGAACGCAGUCAUUUGUGUUUAUCUGAGAGGAGCUUUGGGAUAUAAAUAGUUUCAGGCCCCGCUGCGCUGUCAUUCCAGCCCAGCCUCCUGAUUGAGCUGCUUCCGGGCGGGCUUUCUUCUUGUUGGCGGUCCCAUGCUGUGUUCAGAUGGGCUCUGUGACAGGUUUGGAUGUUUUCUAUCACUGAAUAAAACUUUCCACUUUGGAACAUAUUUUCUACACUCUAUUAUCUCAUGUAAGUCCUGCAACAACUAUUAAGUAGGCCCAUUUUAUGGACUGAAAAAGCGAGGCACAGAGUAUUUGCCCAAGGUCUGAGUCACUGAAGUAUGAUAAUGUGUGAAGUGAACAGUAUAAUAAUAAUGACUGAAGCACAGUAAGAAUCCAGUCAUGCUUUCUCCUUCCCUGAUCUCACUAAGCCACACUUUUAGGGGCUUACAAACCAGUUCUUAUUGCCAAGCCCUCUACUCUACCCUAUCCUUUCAUGAAUCGGAGCCUAGCCUCUGAUAACAUAAAUAAUUUACUUCUCUUGAUGUAGAAAGAGAUGACGUUGUUACCCUGAGUGACAGUCACGACAGAACAAAACCACAAGACCAGACCACAUUUGUGGAUAAAUAUAUUAGCAAAUAAAUAUAUUUCUUAACAUAGUGCCUGAAAAAAAAAAAAAAAAAA
rnacentral:lncRNA from 1 species